ACUGACGAAAUUGGGAAAUUUCUGCCAUUUCUUCUAAAGACACUGAGCGGAAAGUGUGUUUUUUACUUUUUUCUAUGCUUUUUACUGACAUACUUGACUUCGUUUGUUGAAAGUUGAAACUGCUAUCCAUUUUUUCCAAAAUGUCUCUUGCUCGUUUCGUCACAUGCGGAACAUUUUCAAUUAAAGUAAUUAUAGUUGAUCGCUACAGAUUUAGUUUCGACUAGAGAGUAGACCCAUUUGCUUCUCUGUUGCAAUUAUGAGUUAAAACCAUUAUGGAAAUGUGGAUUACAUUUGUUAUUUUCAAGUUGGAAAACUUGACAACUACAAAUUCCUUCGUAAGAUUUAUCAAGCCAGAUGAAGUCUGCGCUUCUUUGUUGCAGUCUAAUGUGCACAUGGAUUGGUUGCAGUCAUCCGGUGAAAGGUGUGAUUAAAUUGAGCUGUUGCAUGCAGUCUUUGGUGCUGAUGUUGUCCUGGAGUGUGGGAGAGUCCCAUGCAAAGUCUUCUGGGAUCAGCCAUAUCUGAGUUGACGCUGGAUCAUGCUGCAUUGUGGUUGCCGAAAUGUUGGACAUCUAGUAGAACUGCAAGAAGACUCUUUGAAAUGGUUUAUGUUUACGUAGCAGUGAUGUUGCUGUCCAAUAUGGCAUGUUGUUGCAGCCUAUACUGGUGAAAGAUUUUUUGCAUCGAGUUAUGCUGUUGCUGUUCCUUGGUGCCGGACUGCUGGUGUUGUGCACAAAAGUUACAUCCAGUUUUAAUUGUUAUUUGUGUCUAUGCAGUUAACCGUUUUUAUGUUGAAAAGGAACAGAAAAGUUCCUUGGUGUUGAAUCGCUGGUGUUGUGCCACAGAAGUUACAUCCUGUAU